rnacentral:rRNA from 1 species
UACGAAGGGUGCAAGCGUUAAUCGGAAUUACUGGGCGUAAAGGGUGCGUAGGCGGUUCGUUAAGUCUGUCGUGAAAUCCCCGGGCUCAACCUGGGAAUUGCGAUGGAGACUGCAAGGCUAGAAUCUGGCAGAGGGGGGUAGAAUUCCACGUGUAGCAGUGAAAUGCGUAGAGAUGUGGAGGAACACCGAUGGCGAAGGCAGCCCCCUGGGUCAAGAUUGACGCUCAUGCACGAAAGCGUGGGGAGCAAACAGG